rnacentral:lncRNA from 1 species
CGGAGGCUUUAACCCAUUAGCAGUGGCGACAACGGUAACACAUCCCCAAUUUCUCAGGUACGCACUCUUUUUCUCUCUCUUCUAUGACUAAACAUUCAACUAUAGGAUUAUGACAAUCGUAGAGUACAUCAAUUCUGACAUGGACAGACAAUGAUAAUAUUCGUAGAGUGAACAUCCCAAGGAAAUUUGAUAAAUCUCUUAAGGCUAAGAAGAAAGACAGUUGGAAAUGUAUCUAACAACUUUAUUGCUGAAAAGGUAGCACCCACGUGCUUAUUUAUGUAGUAGUCAGUAAUGAAGUGAUAGAGCAGAAAGCUGGUACAUCUCACUCCAAAGUUAACAAUCAGAGAUCUUUAAAGAUCUGAACAUUAAAAGAACAAGGAUAACUUUUAAAUGGGAAAAUCUCAUGGAAGGUUUAUAAAAGGCAAGCAAAUUCAAUCAAACAGUAAUAACGAACAAUCAAUCAGUCGAACUGCUGCCCAAUUAUAACGCCCCCAAAAUCCAGACUAUUUUCACCUCUGAUCUUGAGCAUUAACAUAUAACUUCAUUCUUAUUUCCUGUCAAUAAUCAAUAUUAUAAUUAAUAAAACUUGUAUAUUCUAAAACUUUUUACAACAUUCAAUAUUAAUAAAGAUAUAAAAAUUUAGUUAUUCAAAACUUUCCUGAGUUCCAGAAUUUACAACCUUUACAACUCAUAUUUAUAUCUUGAAAUCAUAUAUAUACUAUGAUUCAUCUGUCAGUUGUGAAUAUAAAAUUAAAAUUUUAAUAUCAAAUUAUUCUUCUGAACCUCCGUAACUAUAAUCCAGCAACUAUAUACUCAAUACAUAUCAUCUCUCAUAUAGUAUUAUCACCAUAUUAAUUUAAUUUAAAGAGAAUGUAAAAUUACAUCUUAAAUUCAAAAGAAUAUACUUUGUUCCAUGAUUCAAUGAUUUACAUGACUUAUCUUACGUACAUCAUAAAUAUUCAUCUCGACCUAGUAUGAAUCUAACCAAAGAAAACAAUAAAAAAAUUCUUUUUAACGUGCCUCAAGUCUUUAUCGCCAUGAUCACCAGAGAAUUAAAUAUUUAAUCUGCAAAUGAAAUUAGUUGCAAGUAUAAGUACGACGGUCCAACAAGUCUAAUAGUACACAUUUCAUGCUUCAAGUAUUAUACAUACUCUGCAUUUUGUUCGUGUGUCAUGUAUCUUAAGCUAUGCAUUUUAUACAUGCAUCUUAAAACUAAUGUUAUUCAUUUUAUACAUGCUUCUCAGGUCACAUAUAUCGCAUUUAAGUUUCAACAAUUAAUACAUGUUUCACAUAUAAUGCUAAUCACAUUUACUCCGAACAACGGAUUUCUUUAUCCACUUCAUAUCAACAGUUUAACACAACAGUAACACCUUUUACAAAUAACAAGUUUGCAAAUUACUGAAAGAACUUUCCUCGUUCGUUAGUUUACACAAAUCAAAUGUCUGAUGUAUAAACUUGCUCUUCGGUUAACAUAAUUCUUACGUUUUCAUUCGUCGUAUAACCUAUAUAUAAAAUCAGGUUAUAACAUGCUUAAUAAUAUAAUUCGAGAUUUAAUAUACUUCUAGAUUAGCUUAUUAAUAUUUAUUUUUUCUUACGCCCGAUGUAUCAUAUUUUGUUGGUUCAUUAUCACAUCAUUAGGACUAUCCAACAUAAUCAUAUCAUAAAAUUGCAUCACAAUUAACAGAACUGUGAGAAUUUCCUCAAGUUCAAUUUUACACUUUUUGGGUUAUUCAAAAAGUGCAACUCAACGAUUACAUAUUUAGACUCCACACAAAUUUUCUUUGAUUAUUUCAUUAUUUUCAUAUAAAUAGUUGUAAGCUUUAUAUAAUUCAUAAUGUUCUCCAUUUAUAUUUUCUAAUAUAUAUUGAUCAAAUGAAGUGCUAGGUAAUUGAUGAUCAGAAUUUACCUCAGAUUUUGGUGAUGAAUCAUUGUCUGCCAUUAAGCAAAGAUUUGCAAUUUCUUCGGUUCGUUCAACAGUUCUUUUUCAUCACUUAGAUCCCAACCUUCCUCAGCUAGUAGAACUUUAUUGUUGAUUAAUUUUGGACAAUCAUUUUUGAAAUGACCAGGUUAGCUGCAUUCAAAACAUGUGUUUGAACUUUCAUUUGAGUUGACAUUUCUGAAGUUAUUGUUGUUUGCUUUAAAAUUUCCUCCUUGAGCCUUUGUCCUGAAUACUUGCUUGCUUUUGAAGUUAUUGAAGUUGUUGUUUGUUUUCAUAAAGUCUUUGCCAUAUUUUCUGGCUUUGCUUUGAAUCACUCUUCUGAGUUUUCUGGAUAACAGAGCAACUUCAUUAUUAUCUAGACUCAGAAGUUCUUCAUUUAGUUCUUCAUCAUCACUUUCUUGAUCUACAAGUAGAGCUUUGAAAGCAAUUCCUUUCUUUUUGAGAUCUAUGUCUGAUCCGGAUUUUUCGACUAGCAUGCCAACUUCAUGGGCACACAUAUUUCCAAUGAGACUGUCAAGAGGAUAGAUAGUUAGAUCCUGCAUUUCUUUGAUGGUUGAAACCUUUAUUUUCCAUAUGGAUGGAAAGGUUUUGAGGAUUCUUCUGUUUUUCUCAUUUGUUGUAUAUGUCUUCCCUACUUGUUCCAGUUCGUCAAUGAUUCUGGAGAAAUGUGUCUCCAUAUCAAUGAUUUUUUCACCUUCUUCUAGCUUGAAGCUUUCAUACUCUUGAAUUAGAGCAUCCUUUCUGGUUUCUUUGAUAUGAUUGGUUCCUUCAUAGGUUAAAAUCAAUUUUUUCCAGAUUUCUUUUGCAUUCUUACAAUUGCUAACUCUUUUAUAUUCUUUUUCAAUGAGAGCACUAGUUAGCACUUGUUCGACGUUAGAAGCUAUAUUCAUAGCCUCUUCAUCUUCAGUGGUGAAUUCAUCAAUAUCUUUUUCAACGAUCUUUUCUCCUAGAAUUUUGGUUAGGACUUUUACACCUCGUUCAAUUGCAGACCAAACUUUGAUUCCUUGUGACUUGACAUAGAUUUUGAAUCUGUUCUUCUAGAUGCCAAAGUUGGUUCCAUCAAAUAGUGGAGGUCUGGACAUAGAUAGUCCUUCUCCACAACUAGUAGCAUUGUUGGCCAUGGAUUUACUCUUAGGUAUUCUUGUAUUUACUCAACAAACAAGUUAAAGAGCACUGCUUUGAUACAAAUUGAAAGUCCAAUAAUAAUCUGGGAGAGGGGGGUUGAAUAGAUUAUUAUAAAUUAAAAAUUUAUCUUAGAUUUAGUUAAUUAAUUUACAAUAUUAGAAUAUAAUAUGCAAGAUAAUAAAAACUCAAUCACACAAUGCACAAAAAUUUGUCUAGUUCACAACAUACAUCUCGAGUAUGUUGCUACGUCCAGUCUCAAACUCCUCUCUAGGACUUGAGAUUCUAUUACUAUCAGUAAUAAAUACUCCUUUAACAGGCGGAGAAGCUUUUACAAAAUUUUAUAGACAAACUUUUAACUUUUCACAACUACCUAUCUUGGACAGCAAGCUCUCAGCUCCCUCCUCAAGCUUAGUUGUACCUUCUUUUAAGUUCAGUUAUAUUAUAUGAUUUGGUCUUGAAACAACAAUGUUAUUCACCUCACAAGUUCACUAGAGACUUAACUCGCAGCUGACCUUUCUAAGACUCUGGUCUUGGUCAAAGAUUUACUCAUUUUUCUCACAGGUACAUAAAAUAAACUAACUCUGACUUUUCUCUUUUUAUAAAAUAUUCUACAACGACGUGCUUCUUAAAUAAGCAGAUAAAAUUAAAGAUCAAAAGGUUCAAAGAAAAUUUACUUCUUGUUAAGCAGAUGUGAAUUUUGAUUCCGUUAUAAAAGUUUAAACACAUUUAUAUUUGUGUAGCAAUGCUUCUUGAUCAAGCAGAUAAAAAAAUUUAAGUGUAUGUCCAAUAAUGCUUCUGAAUAAGCAAAUAUUUAAUGCAAGUUUUUAAAGAAUUAUUUAUUCUUUAUAAUAAAGAAUGUGUUUCUAUGGAUUUAAUCAAAUAUGAUUUUAACAUAAAAGUCUAAUUAACUUUUUGUAUAUAUGCAAUAAGUAUUUUUAUGAGUAGAUGAAUUUAUGAACUAAUACUUGUGAUGACAUAUAUCAAGUAUACUAAAUAAAUCAGUUAAGAUAUACUUGAUAUAAUAAAUAUAUUUGUUUAACUCAAAAGAUAUAUAGAAAUAUUUUAUCUAUUAUGUGGAUAAUAUAUACAGAAGGCCACUUAGGAUUUUAAAGACCGUUUGAACAAUUCACGCUAUCAUAUAUUCAAGGGUGAAAAAGUUCAAAUUGUUUCGAUGUCUAAGUACUGACCAAAUUUAUAUUUUUCACACUUGUAUAUUUAUAUAAAUAUUUUCAUUGAACUACUUGAGUUUUCAGGACUAGUUGAAUAGUUCUCUAUGAGAAGUAUUUCGGGGUCAAUCAACUAUUAAUCUAUAAUAUUUAUAUAAAUAAUGAAUAUAUAAAGUAUUUAUAUAAAUAUUUUUGAUAGACUACUUGACUUUCUGGACAAGCUGAAUAAUUCUCUAUGAGAAGUAUUUCGGGGUUGAUCAAGUAUAAUCUACUUUACGAUAUUUAUAUAAAUAAUAAAUAUAUGAAAUACUUAUAUAAAUAUUUUCGAUAGACAACUUGAAUAGGUACCCGUUACCUCGCAUUGAUGACCUGCUUGACCAGUUGCAAGGUGCCAAAUUCUUUUCAAAGAUUGAUCUUCGUUCCGGAUAUCAUCAGUUAAAGAUUAUAACUGAUGACAUUCCAAAGACUGCUUUCAGAACUCAGUACGGGCAUUAUGAAUUCCUAGUCAUGUUUUUUGGAUUGACUAAUGCUCUUGCUGCCUUCAUGGAUAUGAUGAAUAUUUAGAUUAUUUUGUGGUUGUCUUUAUUGAUGACAUUCUCAUAUACUCCAAAAGCCGUGAAGAUCGUGAGAAACACUUGAGGCUGAUACUCCAAAAGCUUCGUGAGAACAAGUUAUAUGCCAAGUUAAAGAAAUGCGAGUUCUGGCUUAAGGAAGUAGCAUUUCUUGGGCACGUGAUAUCGAAUCAUGGAAUAUCUGUUGACCUGGCAAAGAUUGAAGCAAUUCAAAGCUGGGAGCAACCUAAGUCAGUAACCGAAGUGCGUAGCUUUCUGGGCUUAGCUGGUUAUUAUCGGAGAUUCAUGGAAGGAUUUUCUCGAAUCGCUACUCCAUUAACUCAGCUAACUCAAAAAGAUACAAAAUUCGGUUGGAGCGAGGAAUGUGAGAAGAGUUUUCAAGAACUCAAGAGGAGACUCAUUUCAGCACCUAUUCUGACAAUACCAUCUGGUUCAGAGGGAUUUGUCAUCUACAGUGAUGCUUUAGAUAAAGGUUUAUGAUGUAUUCUCAUGCAGCAUGGGAAAUUCAUAGCCUAUGCCUCACGAUAACUCAAAGAAUAUGAGAGGAAUUAUCCUACUUAUGAUCUAGAGUUGGCAGUAGUCAUUUUUGCGCUAAAGAUCUGGAGACAUUACCUGUAUGGGGAGAAACUGGAGAUCUAUAUGGAUCAUAAAAGCCUCAAAUAUUUCUUCACCCAAAAGGAACUUAACAUGCGGCAACGACGUUGGCUCGAGCUGUUUAAAGAUUACGAUCAUACCAUUCAAUACUAUCCUGGAAAAAUGAACGUGGUAGCUAACGCGUUGAGUAUAAGAUCUUAUGCGGGUACGAGUGCGAUAUUAUCAACGCAAAGGCCUAUUUGGUAUAACUUACAAAGGAUGGAGAUAGAGUUAAAGACUCUAGGGACCCACGUGAUGAUGUCAAAUAUAUGAGUAGAACCGACUUUAAUCGAUAAAGUUAAAGCUGCUUAAGCUACGGACCUGGAGCUGAUGCGUAUGAGGAAGAAAGUACAAGAAGGUGCUAUUCUAGAAGCAAGAAUCGAUGAAGAAGGAAUACUUUGAGUCAACUCCAGACUUUAUGUUCCUAACGACUCUGAUUUGAAGUAUAAAAUCAUGAUGGAGGCGCACAACACACUGUUUGCAAUCCAUCUUGGGAGUACCAAAAUGUAUCGUGAUUGUUGACAUACAUUUUGGUGGAGCAAUAUGAAGAGAGAGAUAGCGGAGUUUAUCUCAAGGUGUUUAACUUGUCAACGUGUCAAGGCGGAGCAUCAAGUGCCAAAAGGUCCAUUGCAACCACUUGAAAUUCCAGAAUGGAAGUAGGAGCACAUUACCAUAGAUUUCGUUACUGGUCUUCCCAAGGUUACUCAAGGCAUAGAUGCAAUUUGGGUCAUUGUUGAUAGAUUAACCAAAUCUGCUCAUUUCUUACCUAUACGAGAAACUUAUUCACUUGAACGUCUUUCUCGUAUAUACAUAAAUGAGAUUAUAAGACUGCAUGGUAUGCCAAUAUCCAUAGUUUCUGAUUGAGACCAAAGAUUCACUUCACAAUUUUGGGUUAUUUUAUAGAAAGUUAUGGGCACGAAUUUACGAUUUAGUUCGGCAUAUCAUCCUCAGACGGACGGGCAUUCGGAGAGGACUAUUUAAACUCUUGAGGAUCUAUUAAGACUCUGUGUCAUUGACUUCAAAGGAAUUUUGUUGCCUCCUUUAUAGUCUAACAAAAAGGACUCUAACUCAUGCAAGCAUAUAUAGGUCAACAAGUAGUACAGAGUAAGAAAAGUAUCGAUCCACAGAGAAAGGUUUUAAAUCUAAAUUAUCAUGCAUGAACUAUAUCACUAUCUUUAUAUGGUUAGACGCUCAACUCAUAAUUAACUUUUGAUUCUAAAUCAGUUCAUGAAAUAAAAAUUAUAAUUACUAAAGUGAAGUAAACAAAUUAGAGAAGAAUGGGAUUCUAAUUCCAUUCAAUGUUUCACCUAAACUGCAACCCUCAUGUAAUGUUUAAAUAUUUAUCAUGGAAAGCUAGUCAAGAGAACAAAAGUGGACAUAACAAUUUUUCAACGAACUAUGACCAUUUUACAUAAAAUCCACAUAUGAUAGAAAUCAUGUAGGCAUCACAUUUACCAAAAUCACUAUAUGUCUAUGUUAAAUUAAAGCAAAUAUUAUUUAAAUGCAAGCUCUUUUAAUAACUACACACGAUGGACCGAUAUAUGCCUAUCCGGGUCACUAAUCACAAAGCUUAAACAAAUCAGCCUUAUGAACAUAUGCCAUUAUGAUAUAAUCUACACUUAUAUUUCAUUUUUCAAAUCCAUACAAGCAAUUAAUGUGAAUGGUGAUCAAUCAUUUAAAUAUUAAGCAUAAUCAUAAUAGGCAUUUCCACAAUAAUAUUUAAGGCUUGAUUAGCAGCGCGGCCGCGCUGCUGCUGCAUUCUGUCUUCUGCUAUCUUGUUAUUGCUGCUUUUUGUUUGUUGUUAUUUGUUCUUCAUUUCUUCUCUUUUUCACUGCAUUCAUUCACUGCUUCAGUUCCUCAUCUACUCAUGUUCGCCUUUCCAUGCUUUUGCUAGCAUCAUGCCACCAUGCCAAUCCAUGCUUUCCAUUCCACUUCAUGCCUUAUGUUGCUAAAAGGGGUUCUAACUACAUAAACUGCAAAACAAACAUAAAAUGCAAAUAAAAUAUAUUAAAAAUUACUUGAGAUGAGCAUAAUUCCAGUAAGUUAGCACCCAAAAAAUAGGUAUAAAACCUACUUAUCAAAUACCCCCAAACUUGAAUUAUUGCUUGCCCUCAAGCAAUGCACAUGAAAAUAAACAAUUCAAUGCAACUACAUGUUAUGCAAACUAUAAUAUGCUGCAAAUGAAUCCCAAGUUUUUCAGCUAAGAUGAAAUUCCAAUACUUAUGCCUUAGAGAAUUAUCCGGAUUUAAGAAUAAAGUUUCAACCCAAACUACAGACAUAAUAUCAUACACUCAAAUAACCCAUACUCACUAUAAAGAUGUUAUGUGUGUAUGUUGUGUUCACCAAUAUACUUGAUCAAGGCAAAGACUACACAUGUUAUAUUGCUAAAAACAAAACAUUGAAGUCUAAAUCAAGAACCAUGUAUACUAAUGCAACAAAAACUGCUCCAACACAUCAAUACAAACUAAAGUUCAACAAUGGAUUUAAUCUACUUUAUUUUUACUCACAAGGGCGAUUCUCGCACUUUCCCACGGUGUUUAUUUAUUUCUUUUUUUUAGCGAGUGCAUUUUACGCUCCAUCCCGCCCAACCACAAGCUUUAAUAAUUCAACUUGGGAAGGUUUCAAUAAUACUUUUCUCUUUUUUAUAGUAAGCAUACCCAUGUGUUCCCAAAGUUUGAUUAUUAGUGUUUUCACAGCCUAAGUCCACUUUCUUCACAAUUCUAUUUUUAAAACAACAUUUUCUUCUAAGCAUGCAAAACAUGUUAUUCUUAUACCAACAAGCAUAAAUGAACAACUACGUGUUAACCGAAAGCAUCUUAAACAACAAGCAUGGCUUACAUCAUGUAAAACAUUAUAUCUAAGCUCAUGUUAUCCACUAAAUUCAAAAAUCCUUCAGAAUUCUAUUUCAUCACUGGCUAGACUAAAGCUCCAUAAAGCUAGAAACUUGGAAUAUGCAACUAAAAACAUAACUAAAACAUAUAAUAAAUAGAAAAAUAGAAAAAUUUUCUGCAAUUAUUAACUAACACAUGCUAAACACAUAAAUAUGCAAAAAAUUAAACUAAACAUGCAAAAAUGAUGCAAAUUAACUGCAUGCACUACACUACUACCCAAUACCCCCAAACUUAAAAUAUUCAUUAUCCCAAUGAAUGAAGGUAUAGGGUUUAAAGGAACUCCUGUGACGCCCCCAAAAUAGGCAUACAUCACCGAUCUUGAGUCACCAGAUACAUGGUACAUAAUACAACUAUAGACUUCUUUUAUACAACUAUCAUGUAAAAUACAACAAAACGUAGCUGAGAGUUUAAACAAGAAUAUUGUCUUCUAGACAAUAUCCACUCUCAGUGGAGUCCUCAUUACAUUUAUUAUCACACUAUUUCACAGAAUAGUGAGUACUACUAAAGCCACUUAUCCUGGACCAUUACUCCAUUUCCCGACUCGUCCCAGCUAUAUUCUCAUUUCCUGAAGAGAACGAUGAAAGAAAAGGGUGAGCUCAACUAGCCCAGUAAGAAAUAUUUUGACUAAGAUAAUGCAGAAUAAAUUAUCCUUAACCUUCAACAGUAAAACAACUGAUAGAAUACAAUAGACAACAAGUUUUAGAUCAACAACUGCAGCGAAAUAAGCAAUCCAUUAGAAGAGUCGAGUAGAGCAUGAUAUCUACUAUCUUCUAUGAUUUAAAAAAAAAAUCAUCAACUUUAUCGAUGAGACUCAGCUUAAUAAAUAAACCACAUCAUCGAAUUGUCUCCUUUGCAUUUGCAUAAAAUUCCCGUACAAUUGUUAUGAGUGCAACCAUGGGUGUGGAGCAGACUCCAUGAAAACAUCUUUCUCUAAUCAUGUCUUUCAAUUGCCCAUCUUGUGGCUCUGGCUUGAAACCUCGCUCUCUGACAAAUGAUUUAGCCACGAUUCUGAGGUAUUCCAUCUGGGCUUCAAGACUUACAAAUUUGGAAAAAUCCACAGUGUCUCCACUCUGGCUACUUGCAAAAGACGACUCUGGAGUGCGAGAACAAGCACGUUUUAGUCCCAUUACACUUGAUAAACAGACAAACUCUAAAUUACAAAGAAAAAUUGGACUGAGAAAAUCGUGCGCUAAACACCCCCAAACUUAUUGUUUUCACUACAUCUCUAAAGAAACCCUAACUUUUCUGUGACUGAAUAGAAGAUAAAGAUAAAAGUUUGAAUGUGGAUAGGAGAAUGAAAUGCGUAUAUAAUGGGAUGAGGAGUUACGAAUUUGAAAUGGAUGGUUUGGAGAAGAAAAGAGUCGUGCGUCUAUUUAUGUUUUGAAACUAAUAGAGAGUAGGCGCACGUUGCAAACUGAUAUAAGAAUUUGGAGGAGACACAUCUUUAAAACAUUUAAAAAAAUUUCAGGCUCCGGUCUCGGGUGCAGCUGCGCAGCUUUUACACUGAAUAAAGGCGCGGGCACGUGAUAGGCUAUGCUGCACAGGGAUACGGUGCGGGCGCGCCAUUUUGUACUAUUUUCCUUACGCGAUCACGCGGCCCUGUAUCCUAACCAUACUGAUCUGCAUCUUUAAAAAUAGCAAAGCGACUACUGAUAAUCUGCAAUGCGCCUAUACAAAUAAUAAAUAUCAGUAUGAGAUAUAUCAAUUCUCCAAAAUCAAAACAUGAACUAAUUAAUAUGCAUGAAUGACUAUCCCAAAACAAUGCUUUGUAUGCUACUCCUAAUCAUCAUUAUAUGCACAAUCAGUUCCAUAAAAUUUAUACCACACUUGUUAUUUUAUAACAACUAACAUGAAAAUGAGAAACAAAUAUGAUCCAAAACAAAAUUAAACAAGAGAUAAAGAUAGAAAUAAUAGGGUGCCUCCAAUCAAGUUCUAAGUUAUAGUCAAUUAGCUUGACUAUCUCUGAUUGAAUCAUGUUGAAGAAAGAAUGGAGGUGACUUUCUAUCUGUCAACCUCACCACCAUAGUAGUGCUUAAGCCGCUGUCCAUUCACUUUGAAUGGCUUAUCUGGGAAUCUAUCGAAUACCUCUACUGCACCAUGUGGAUAAAUUAUCUUCACAGUAAAUGGCCCUGACCACCUUGAUUUGAGCUUUCCAGAAAAAAGUUUAAGUCUUGAAUUAAACAACAGAACUCUUUGUCCCAGAUCGAAUACUCUCUCCAAGAUCUUGUGAUCAUGCCAUCUCUUCAUCUUUUCUUUAUAUAGCUUGGAGUUUUCAUAAGCCUGCAAUCUGAAUUCAUCCAACUCAUUUAGUUGGAGUAGGCGUUUUUCACCUGCAGCCUUCAAAUCAAAGUUGAGCUUAUUAAUUGCCCAAUACGCCUUAUGCUCAAGCUCCAUGGGAAGGUGACAAGCCUUUCCAUAAACCAGCUGAAAUGGUGACAUUCCUAAUAGAGUCUUAUAAACAGUCCUAUAAGCCCAUACAACAUCUUCAAGCUUCAAUGACCAAUCCAUUCUUGUGGGGUUCACGACUUUCUCCAAAAUUCUCUUUACUUCACGAUUUAAAACUUCUGCUUGGCCAUUGGUUUGAGGAUGGUAAGCUGUAGCAAUGUGAUGAUUUACCCCAUACUUAGCCAAUAAGGCUGUAAACUGCUGAUUAUAGAAAUGACUGCCUUCAUCACUAAUAAUAGCCCUUGGAGUCCCAAACCUUGUAAAAAUACUUCUUUAUAAAAAUCGUAGGACUACCUUAGCAUCAUUAGUUGGAAAAGCUGCCACUUCUACCCACUUUAAAACAUAGUCGACUGCUAACAAGAUGUAUAAAUUUCCACAUGAAGAAAUGAAACGACCCAUGAAAUCUAUCCCCCAAACAUCAAAAUUUUCAACCUCAAGGAUUGUGUUCAAUGGCAUCUCAUUUCUUUUUGAUAUAUUCCCAACUCUUUGACAUCUAUCACACCUCUGGACAAAACUGUAAGCAUCUUUAAAUAUCAUCCGCCAGUAAAAUCCUGCUUGUAACACUCUAGCCGCUGUUUUUUCUCCACCAUAGUGACCUCUAUAUAAUAAAGCGUGGCAAUCCUGCAAAAUCCCCUCUGUCUCGCUAUAUGGGAUACACCUCCUUAUCAUCUGAACAACACACUGUUUGAACAAAUACGGUUCAUCCCAUAUAAACCACUUCACAUUAUGCAAAAAUCUCUUCUUUUGGUGCCCAGUCAAGUCUGUAGGUAUGAUCUUGCUCACUAAAUAGUUAGCAAAGUCCGUGAACCAAGGCACUUCCCCUUUCACCACAAAUAAUUGUUCAUCUAGAAAAGAUUCAUUAAUCACAACUUUGUCAUCUCCAUCUCUUCCCUGAUUUUCCAGUCUCGAUAAGUGGUCCGCUACUUGAUUCUCAGUACCUUUCCUAUCCUUGAUCUCCAAAUCGAAUUCUUGCAAUAGAAGUAUCCACCUGAUUAAUCGAGGCUUUGCAUCUUUCUUUGCCACAAAAUAUAGAAUUGUCGCAUGAUCUAUGUAUACUAUAACCCUCGUCCCAAUUAGAUACGCUCGAAACUUAUCAAAAGCAUAUACAACUGCCAACAGUUCCUUCUCUGUGGUGGUGUAGUUCAAUUAAGCAUCAGUAAGGGUCUUGCUCGCAUAAUAUAUCACAUGAAAAAUCUUUUCCCUUCUCUGGCCCAAAACAGCCCCCACAGUAUAAUCACUGGCAUCACACAUCAACUCGAAUGGUAAGUCCCAAUCUGGUGUUGUAAUCACUGGUGCUGAAGUUAACUUCCUCUUUAAAUGCUCAAAUGCAGACAUGCAAUCCUCAUCAAACUUGAAUUGUACAUCUUUCUCCAAUAAUCUACAAAGUGGCUUUGUGAUCUUGGAGAAGUCUUUAAUGAACCUACGGUAGAAGCCUGCAUGCCCUAAAAAACUGUGAACACCUUUUACAGAAGUUGGUGGUGGCAAAUUCUCAAUGGUCUCUAAUUGGCCCUGUCCACCUCGAAUCCUUUCUUCGACACCUUAUGUCCCAAAAUUAUUCCUUCUUGUACCAUAAAAUGGUACUUUUCCCAAUUAAAAACUAAAUUCAUCUCAACACAUCUUCUCAGUACCAUCACUAAAUUUUCCAGACACAAAUCAAAAGAAUCCCCGAAUACUGAGAAAUCAUCCAUAAAUACCUCCAAAUUAUGAUCCACCAUAACCGAGAAAAUUGCCAUCAUACAUCUCUAAAAAGUGGUUGGGGCAUUGCACAACCCGAAAGACAUCCUUCUGAAAGCGAAUGUACCAUAUGAACAUAUGAAAGUUAUCUUUUCUUGGUCUUCUGGAGCUAUCACAAUCUGAUUAUAGCCUGAAUACCCAUCCAGAAGGCAAUAAAAUUUAUAACUCGAUAAUCUGUCUAACAUCUGAUCAAUAAAUGGCAAUGGGAAGUGAUCCUUCCUUGUAGCUUUGUUAAGUCUGUGAUAAUCCAUGCAGACUCUCCAUCCCGUCACUGUUCUCAUCGGAAUCAACUCAUUGUUUUUAUUGGAGACUACGGUCAUUCCACCCUUCUUUGGCACACACUUUACCAGGCUCACCCACGAGCUGUCUGAGAUCGAAUAAAUAAUUCCUGCAUCCAGCCAUUUCAACACUUCCUUUUUGACCACUUCCUUUAUAAUUGGAUUAAGUCUCCUUUGCUGCUCCAUUGAAGGCUUGCUCUUAUCUUCAAGUAGGAUCUUGUGCAUACAGAAUGAUGGGCUGAUCCCUUUGAUAUCUACUAUGGUCCAUCCAAUUGCUGACUUAAACUCUCUAAGGACUCUUAGCAGUUUUUCUUCCUGAAAAGAUGUUAGUGCAGAAGAAAUAAUCACAGGUAAUUUUGGAUUAUCAUUUAAAAAUGCAUACCUCAAAUAAUCUGGAAGUGGUUUCAACUCAAGUUCUGGAGGUGCCUCAAGAGAUGGCUUUAAUUUCACUGAUGACUCUCCAGCAAUCUUUAAUGGCUUAACAAGAGUCUUAAACUUUCUGAACUUUGGAGUUGUGUCAAGUAUUUGAACAAUUUCUUCAAUAUCACCAUCUUCUAUCUCUAAACUUCCCAUAAUGGCAUUCUUCAAAGGUUUAUAUUCCACCAAGUUCUCUACUUCAUCAUUCAGUACCUUUUCCACAAAAUCAAUCCUGAAGCAUUCCUCUUCAUCUGUUGGAAAUUUCAUUGCCUUGAAUACAUUAAAGGUGACUUCCUGAUCAUGAACUCGCAUUGUCAAUUCACCUUUUUAAAAAUCUAUCAAGGUUCUUCUUGUGGCUAGGAAUGGUCUUCUAAGAAUGAUCGGUAUACUUUUAUCCUCUUCAUAGUCCAAUAUGAUGAAAUCAGCCGAGAAGAUGAAUUUAUCCACUUUAACUAGUACAUCUUCCACAAUACCCUGUGGAUAUGUAAUAGAACUGUCAGCUAGCUGCAAUGAAAUGUUUGUCAGCCUUGGAGCCGGCAAUCCCAACUGAUUGAACACUGACAAUGGCAUCAAGUUGAUACUUGCCCCUAGAUCGCACAAGCAUUUGCUGAAACUCAUCUUUCCAAUCGUACAAGGUAUCGAGAAGCUACCCGGGUCCUUCAGCUUUAGAGGUAACUUGCGUUGAAGCACUGCACUACAUUCUUUGGUCAAGGCCACUGUUUCAAAGUCUUCUAGCCUUUUCUUCUGUGACAAAAUACUCUUCAUAAACUUUGCGUAACUAGGCAUCUGUUCCAAUGCCUCAGCAAAAGGUAUGUUGAUAUGUAGCUUUUUAAACACCUCCAAAAAUUUACUGAACUGCUUAUCUUCCCUUUGCUUCUGCAACCUCUGUAGAUAAGGAAUAUGGGGAUGAAUAACUGGCAUCUUGGUCAUCGGUUUCUCAGAUGACUCUUCUUUAUUCUUCUUCACUUUCCGCAGUUCUGAACCUUCAUCAAACAAAACUUCACUAGAAAUUUUUCCUUCAUCACGCGGCCGCGCGUCCUCUCUUUGCAAAAUUGGUGCAGUCACGCCAUGUUGUGAUUCUGCAGUUUGUUUCCCUGACCUUAAAGUGAUAGCCUGACAUUGUUCCUUACCCUCCCUUCUUGGAUUAACCUCUGUUGUACUUGGCAAUGAACCCUGUGGUCUGUUGUUAAGCAUGCUAGCCAUUUGACCUAUUUGCGUUUCCAAAUUUUUGAUAGCCACUGCUUGGCUUUUAAUCAUCACCUCGAUAUUUGCCAUAUACUUCAUCAUCAUCUCCUGCAUCUCUGAUUUCUUCUCUUGUUGAGGUGCAGGUGGUGGAUGAUGUUGUUGUUGCUGUUGAAAUCCCAGAGGGUAGGGUGGUUUCGGUGCAUACUGCUGAUGAGACG